rnacentral:misc_RNA from 1 species
GUGGGAGGGGGCUUGCUCCCGAUUACGGUGGGUCAGCUAUAUAUAAGCUGGCUGAUCCACCGCUAUCGGGAGCAAGCCCCCUCCCAC